AACGUAGGUGGCGAGCGUUAUCCGGAUUUACUGGGCGUAAAGCGUGUGCAGGCGGCUGGUCAAGUGGUGUAUGAAAUAUCCAGGCUCAACCUGGAGGGGUUAUGCCAGACUGGCCAGCUAGAGGGCGAGAGAGGGGCGUGGAAUUCCGGGUGUAGUGGUGAAAUGCGUAGAGAUCCGGAGGAACCCCAGAGGCGAAGGCGGCGCCCUGGCUCGCACCUGACGCUCAGACACGACAGCAUGGGGAGCGAACGGG
rnacentral:rRNA from 1 species